ensembl:snRNA U6 U6 spliceosomal RNA
CCAAGAAGAUUAGCAUGGCCACUGCACAAGGAUGACACACAAAUUCGUGAAGCAUUCCAUAUUUUU